GAUGAACGCUGGCGGCGUGCCUAAUACAUGCAAGUCGAGCGAACGGACGAGAAGCUUGCUUCUCUGAUGUUAGCGGCGGACGGGUGAGUAACACGUGGAUAACCUACCUAUAAGACUGGGAUAACUUCGGGAAACCGGAGCUAAUACCGGAUGAUAUUUUGAACCGCAUGGUUCAAAAGUGAAAGACGGUCUUGCUGUCACUAAUAGAUGGUUCCGCGCUGCAUUAGCUAGUUGGUAAGGUAACGGCUUACCAAGGCAACGAUGCAUAGCCGACCUGAGAGGGUGAUCGGCCACACUGGAACUGAGACACGGUCCAGACUCCUACGGGAGGCAGCAGUAGGGAAUCUUCCGCAAUGGGCGAAAGCCUGACGGAGCAACGCCGCGUGAGUGAUGAAGGUCUUCGGAUCGUAAAGCUCUGUUAUUAGGGAAGAACAUAUGUGUAAGUAACUGUGCACAUCUUGACGGUACCUAAUCAGAAAGCCACGGCUAACUACGUG
rnacentral:rRNA from 1 species